rnacentral:rRNA from 1 species
UACGUAGGGUGCAAGCGUUGUCCGGAAUUACUGGGCGUAAAGAGCUCGUAGGUGGUUUGUCGCGUUGUUCGUGAAAACUCACAGCUCAACUGUGGGCGUGCGGGCGAUACGGGCAGACUUGAGUACUGCAGGGGAGACUGGAAUUCUCGGUGUAGCGGUGAAAUGCGUAGAUAUCGAGAGGAACACCUGCGGCGAAGGCGGGUUGCUGGGCUGAUACUGACGCUGAGGAGCGAAAGCGUGGGGAGCGAACAGG